GCCUCGUUAGCGCAGUAGGCAGCGCGUCAGUCUCAUAAUCAAAUCUAGAAAUCUGAAGGUCGUGAGUUCGAUCUUCACACGGGGCA
rfam:Nematostella vectensis strain CH2 x CH6 NEMVEscaffold_740_Cont32435, whole genome shotgun sequence.